GAUGAAGAACGUAGCGAAAUGCGAUAAGUAAUGUGAAUUGCAGAAUUCCGUGAAUCAUCGAAUCUUUGAACGCACAUUGCGCCCCCUGGCAUUCCGGGGGGCAUGCCUGUCCGAGCGUCAUUUCUGCCCUCCAGCCCGGCUGGGUGUUGGGCGCUGUCCCCCCGGGGACACGCCCCAAAGGCAGUGGCGGCGUCGCGUCGGGUCCUCGAGCGUAUGGGGCUUUGUCACCCGCUCGGGACGGACUCGUCGGCGCUGGUCUUCCUCCAGGCGACCCUUCGGGGCUCGUCUUCCUUCGGUUGACCUCGGAUCAGGUAGGGUUACCCGCUGAACUUAAGCAUAUCAAUAAGCGGAGGA
rnacentral:misc_RNA from 1 species